UGCGAGUGAAGAGGGAAGAGCUCAUCAUUGGAAUCUGGCAGCGUUGCGCUGUCCGAGUUGUAGAUGAGAAGAGUAGGUCAUCUGGACUGCGUGGUGUCCAAGUACAAUAGGCCGUCAGUGGGACAUCAUAGAGGGUGACAAUCCCGUCCUUGACAACCAACGUACGAGUCCAUUACGAUGCCUAUCUCAGAGAGUCGAGCAGUUUGGGAUUUGCUGCUUAAACAUGGGAGGUAGAUUCCUUCUAAAGCUAAAUACAGGCAAGAGACCGAUAGAGAACAAGUACCGCAAGGGAAAGAUGAAAUAGAACUCUGUGAAGGGAGUCAAAAAGACGUGAAAUUGUUGCGAGAGAAGCGAUUCAAGUCAGCGUAGCUAGGCCCAUCAAGCUUCUUGCUUUGGACUAGCUUUGCCAGCGGUCUUGUCCUUUUAGAGACUUGACUUUUGACGUGCCCUGUCCGGUCUAACGGGCAGGCCCUUCGGGGCCAGUGGCAUGGCUGGUGGAAUGGCUUGCAAUCGACCCGUCUUGAAACACGGACCAAGGAGUCUAACAUGUGUGCGAGUAUAAGGGUGGCAAACCCGUAUGCGCAAAGAAAGUGAUAGCCUUUUAUGGCUGAGAAUGGCCUGAUGACCAGACAAGCAAUAUUAUGUUCCUCGUACGGUCAUUGCCCAAGUCCCGUGGUCAGAUCCCAUGGACAUGGAGUUAGAGCAUACAUGCUAGGACCCGAAAGAUGGUGAACUAUGCCUGGACAAAGCGAAGCCAAAGGAAACUCUGGUGGAGGCUUGUAGCGAUUCUGACGUGCAAAUCGAUCGUCUGAUCUGGGUAUAGGGGCGAAAGACUAAUCG
rnacentral:rRNA from 1 species